rnacentral:rRNA from 1 species
AAGUCGUAACAAGGUUUCCGUAGGUGACGUCCGGAAGNAUCANUAANNANGAGAAAGGAGUNGUAGUGGNNGNUAGCANUCUUGGUCCNUUUAGAGGAAGUAAAAGUCGUAACAAGGUCUCCGUAGGUGAACCUGCGGAGGGAUCAUUACAGAGAAUAUCGCCCGCGAGGGUGACUCUCCAACCCUAUGUUAAUUUAUACCUUUGUUGCUUUGGCGAGCCGCUCCGGCCACCGGCUUCUCGCUGGUGAGUGCUCGCCAGAGGACCCUAAACUCUGUUUAUACAUGUCGUCUGAGUACUAUAUAAUAGUUAAAACUUUCAACAACGGAUCUCUUGGUUCUGGCAUCGAUGAAGAACGCAGCGAAAUGCGAUAAGUAAUGUGAAUUGCAGAAUUCAGUGAAUCAUCGAAUCUUUGAACGCACAUUGCGCCCUGUGGUAUUCCGCAGGGCAUGCCUGUUCGAGCGUCAGUACAACACUCAAGCCUAGCUUGGUCUUGGGCCUCGCCGGAGACGGCGGGCCUUAAAAUCAGUGGCGGCGCCUCUCGGGCCCUAAGCGUAGUAAUACUCCUCGCUACAGGGACCCGGUGGACGCUGGCCAGCAACCCCCAACUUUCUAAGUUUGACCUCGGAUCAGGUAGGGAUACCCGCUGAACUUAA